rnacentral:lncRNA from 1 species
GGGGAUAAAUGGGGGUGCUCUCCCCCAAGCUGGAUUUUGACGUAAUUUCUUCUGAUGUAGCUAGCAGGUGCUGGAGGUGUAUUUGAAAGUCGGCAGCACCCUGAGAGCAAUUAGAAUGUCCUCCGUCUGCUAGUCUUCUUGAUCCUUGAAUUCUGUGGAGCUCCAAUAGACAACAAAGCUUUGUGGAACUGAUUAGAUGUUAGCAUAAUAUUUAGCCUUUAUCAUAUUGAGCCACCUCAAUAAAUGCUACUUUCUUUGGUAGGAUCACAAUUUUAUUUUUGUAUUUUCAUUUUUAUAGAGUAGAAGAAUAUUUUUAUUUUAUUAUUUUUUUUAUGCCACCACAGUGAAUGUACUUAUGGGUUUUAUGCCACUUGUAUACUCACAUGGGGCUUACUGGUUUUAACAUUUUUAUUUUCUUUUUAGGAUAGUAUGAACAUAAUUAACUAAGCAAACUACUUUAAAUAAUUGAAAGGAAAAGGAUAACUACCAAGUUUACCUCUUGGCAAGGCGUUCGGUGUUUUUAAGUCCUCCGAACGGGACUCUCCGUUUUCUCAGUCGUCUUGGGAUUCGCUGGAUGGCAUAGUCGGUGCCUCUGGCGGUGCCUCCUCUUCGUGUAUAACUAUCUUCUUUCUCCACACCUGACUCGGUGUUACGGUCUCCUCAGGAUAGUUCUGUUCAAGCUGUAUGUCUUCAGACCUUACCACUUCUUCUUCAUAGUCUGCCCAUCCGUCCUUGAUGAUUUGCCUCCUCUGGUUGCGGUUGCGUCGUCUUCUUCUUGUCCUGACCUGCUUAGAGUCUUCAACUAUAUAGUUAGGGUCACUAAAAUAGCGGCGUACCUUCUCAUAGUGGAAGUGCAUGUGGACUUCUCCGGUUCCAAUGUAGAUGAUUGCUUUAAUGGUGCUGAGGAACCGUCUCCCAAGGAUGAUGGGUGGAUCAUACUCGUCUUCUCCCAUGUCAAUAACCUAAAAAUCUGUAUGGACAAAACGAUCAUCUAUUUUGACAGGGACAUCAGUUACUAUACCUUCAACCUUUCGGAAUGUCUAAUCUGCCAUCUGGAGCUGAAUGUAUUUCGGUUUUAGGGGCAUGCGAAUAGGAGCUGAUAGGUGACUGCGGCCAUUAUGUUGACGCCCGACCCGGUGUCGCAAACCGUCUUGUGAAAGUUGUAUCCAUUGAUGGAGCACUGGAUGCUUGGCAUACCUGGGUCAUCCUUAUUGGUCAGGAAUGGUGACUUGAGUUGACAAUCUUGACCUCCUUGAAUUGCAGUGACCAUCUAAGCUGACUUGGUCCACACUUGCUUGUUCCUGAUCCUCCUGUUGGUCCUCUUCCUUGGUUCAUGUCGAGAUUGCUCUGGGAUUUGUAUAGUCUUGUUCUUGAAGGAAAACGUCUCCUUCCUUCCCUUGAUGUAGAAACUGAUCUUGGCAGCACUAGCGUAGAUGACAGCCCCCUAGGUGUUCAGGAAUGGCCUCCCUAAGAUGACGGGUGCCCUCUCAUCAGAACCUGUCUCUAUCACCACGAAGUCUGCUCGGGCGUACAAGGUACCAACUCGGAGGCAGAGGUUCUUCAAUAUUCCCUUGGGGAAACUUAUCGUCCGAUCUACAAGCUGCAAGUACAUGGUUGUUUCUAGUAAAGGAUGUGUAAAGAAUUUUUCAUAGACUACCUUGGGCAUAAUGUUGAUGCUGGAGCCCAAGUCGCAGAGUGCUUCUGGGAAGUCCACCCUGCCCAUGGAGAUCGGUAUGACGGGGCGUCCUGGAUCGCCUCUCUUGAUCGGCAGAAGGUCAGUAGUUACUUCCACAACGUGGUUACUCCAGUAGUUACCUGUAUCAAACAUGUCUACAAGAUUUGCAGAUUCUAAUCCUUCCAGCUGUGAUGGUAUACCGGGGUUAGUAGUUGGAACAGCAGCAGCUAUUUGAUUUAAUUGAGAUUCAAUCAUUUUAUUAAAGCUAAUUUGAUUCUUGAUGGCAGUAGAGAAAUUAUGCAUUCUGUUAUUUAUAUUUUCUAGCAUUUUAUCAUUAGAUGCCAAUUUCUUAGAUAGGUUAUCCAUUAGGUUUCCUUGAUUAGACACUAACACUCUUAGAGGUGGAAAAAUAUUAUUAUUAUUGUAAGAAUUGUUACCUUGAUAAUUACCUGAGUAGUUAGGCCUCUGUUGAUUCCAACCUUGAUUUUAUUGAGGACGGUAGUAGUAGUAGUUGUUGUUGUUGAUGUAGUUCACGUCCUUAAGAAUCUCAGGGCAGUGAUUGUCUGAGUGUCCAGUAUCUCCACAAUCCUCACAAGUCAUGUGAGAGUCGUAGACGUGCAUGACUUCUUUCUUAUCUCCCGCUCUAUCAUCGAGCUUCUUCAUGAGCAGGUCUAGCUUGGCAGACAGCAUGUCUACCUCCUUGAGCUGGUGCAUACCUCCACCUCUCUUGCGUGUUUGGGUCAUUUCUUCAUUCCAGCCUUGGUUGGACGCCAUCUUCUCCACAAGAGCUGUGGCUUGUGGUAUGGUGAGUGAUAGGAAUGCUCCUCCAGCUGUAGCAUCCAUGGUCUCACGGGCACUAUUGCCGAGCCCAUGAUAAAAUGUCUGCAUCAGUAGCCAGCUCUCCAUUCCAUGAUGGGGGCAUUCUAGGAUGUAGUCUUGGAAGCGCUCCCAUGCUUCUGGAACGGAUUCAUCAUGUUGUUGCUGAAAACUUGUAAUUUUCCCACGGAGAGGAUUGGUCUUACCCAUGGGAGAGAACUUAGCCAGAAAGUUUAUGGAGCAGAGUGCCCACGUAGUAUUCUUCUCCUUUGUAGCGUAGAACCACUGCUUCGCUCUCCCCAACAGUGAGAAUGGGAAGAGGCGAAGUAGUAUAGCAUCUCUGGGGACUCCUGACAUGGUGAAUGUGCUGCAAAUCUCCAGGAAGUGUUGGAGAUGAGCACUAGCAUCUUCGUACGCCUUUCCACAGAACUAGUUGGCUUGCACCAUGUUGAUGAGUCCAGGCUUGAGCUCAAAGCUACAGUCGAUCUCCACAGCAGGUCCAAUGCGGAUGUUGUCUGUAGUGGGAGCUGAGAACUCGUGGAUCGACUUGUUCGCCAUGGCUUCGUACUCUGAAGACAAGUUCCUGAUGAAACUUCGGUGGUCUUCUUGGUUUGAUGAAGCUUUGUGCUGAAGUGUUGACGAUGUCUUCUUGAGCUUGGCUCUUGUUUUUCUGAAUAACGCUUCGGGGUCGUCAACAAAAUUUCCUAGAUGAUGUCUUCUAUUCAUACAUUAUCAUGCAUAAAAUAAUCAAAAUAGAAAAAUACAGGCAUAAAACUGUAUGAGAGAAUUGAUAAUCUCAAUCAUAUUAGUGAUGCGAAUGAUGACUCGAAAUUUCGUAUUCAUUCCUUAUUAGUAAUCAACCUUCCCCAGCAACGGCGCCAAAAAUGCUUGUUGGGCAUUCUUAACGUCAUUACCAAAAGUAGACUUAGUUUUCUAAUUCUGAUAACGGCGCCAAAAAUGCCGAACCUAUCCCUCAUGCCACUUAAGCCAAGUUGUCAUCCCCAGCAUGACAUGAGAGACGCGGUAUUAAAAAUAUGCAAUUGCUCUUCUGAAUGAAUAAUAAAUGAGAUCUACAAGCGCACAGAUUAAUACUGAUGUAGCAUUUUAACCGGGAAGUAUUACUGGUAUCGUUAUUAAUAUUUUUACCACUGGGAAGGGAUUGCUAAUCAUCAAUAUUGAUUAAGGAAUGGAAUAUGGAAUAUGUAUAAUAGAGAGCAUUUAUCUAUCUCUUUCAUAUAGGGAUAAAUGUCACAUAAAAGAUAGAUAGAGUAUGAAUGGUGACAAAGAUAAUUAAUCUGAUCAGCAUAACUAGCCACAUAUAAUAAUGAUAAGCACCUCAAUAGAUAUUGUAGCAAGCCAUUAGCAUGGAAUUAGGAUGAACUACAAGAAUAUUUUCUAACUUAUUUGUUGACGGUCCUUAAGUAUCAAAUUUAAUUAUCAAAUAAACAAAGAAAAGGAUCCAAAUGAAAUCAACAUCUAGACUUAGGGUUUUAUCUGACAAAAUUCCACGAGUUUUGGUGUUUGUCUAUUUCUGCAGGGGGUUAUUAGGAAAUACGGAAGAAAGGCCCACACGUCGGGAUUACAUAAAGAUAUCAACGUGCCGCGCAAUUAUCUUACAUCUAGAAGACUCGAGAAGCCACGGAAAGGAAGCGAAGGCCGAACGGGGCCUGGCCCUGGGCGCCCGCCCAGGUAACCAGGGCGCCCGCCCCCCUUCUGAGUCCAAUCAGGACUCUCUUUCGGGAAAGAUCUCCACCGACCUAAAGGAUCAAGGAUAAUCGUUCAAUCAAUGUCGGUUUGAUCCAACGGCCCAUAUUCACUUGAAGGGACUAUAAAACUAGACCCCCUGGCCCCUGGAGGAGAGAGCCUCUCAACCCGAAUUCAUUAUUCUCAAGGGAGAAGAAGCCUCUGAUCAAGAUUAGAGCCACCACAUCAAUUAGAUAUCUAGAUUAGCAUAGCUACAUAGGAUUAGAACUAGAAGGAGUCAAUCUUCGAUUGGUUUCCGGAUCUGUCAAGAGGAUUCUUGGUAAUUCUCUAAUUGUGCUUCUAAUUGUUCUUCUAAUCAUCUUUGUUCUUCAAUAUUAUGAAUAUGACUUUGUUGUACUUCAAUAUAUUGCUUAUGACUUUGCUCUACUUGUUUAUAUUCAAGAUUAUAUUGUUCUUAGUUUAUCAUAGUUAUGUACUUGGCUUAGUUAGAUUGGAUCUAUAUACAUGCUUAGGAUCGUAUAGCGUUUAUCCAUCGGAACCAUAGGUAAAUGAUAGAUAUUGUGUAGGCGUGGUGCUUAUACCGUAUUUAUCUGCGAUUGUACCCAAUAUGCCAGAUCGUGGGGUAGUUCGUGAUAGUGACAGCUUCAUUGAUUCUUAUAUAGUCCCCCUCUCGUGUAUUGGGCUGGCAGAGCAAUAUUAUUACAGGAGAGUGUUUGCUAUGUUUCUCAUUUACCUUGCUAAUAUCACUAUGCAUGGGCGUAGUCUUGUCUCGCAAUGAUUGCUAAGUAUGCUUGCACUAACUAUGAUAAUGCUAGACUAUAUAGUUGAGAAUAACUUAGGAAAUAUUCUUGUAGUUUGUUCUAAUACCAUGCUAAUGACUUUCUAGAAUAUCUAAUUGAGGUGCUUAUCAUAUUUAUUAUGUGGCUAAGUUAUGCUGAUCAGAUUAAUUAUCUUUGUCACUAUUCAUUACUUCAUAUAUCCUUUAUGUGACACUUAUCCGUAUAUGUUAUCCCUGUAUGAAAGAGUUAGAUAAAUGUUCUCAAUUAUAUAUGCAAUGAUAGAUACUCAAUCUCAUAUUCUAUUCUGUAAUCAAUAUUGAUGAUUGCUAAUCCCUUCCCAGUGGUAAAAAUAUAAAUAACGAUACCUAGAAUACUUCCCGGUUAAAAUGCUACAUCGGUAUUAAUCUGUGCGCUUGCAGAUCCUAUUCAUUAUUUAUUUAGAAGAGCAAUUGCAUAUUUCAAUACCGCGUCUCUCAUGUCAUGCUGGGGAUGACAACUUGGCUUAAGUGGUAUGAGAGAUAGGUUUGACAUUUUUGGCACUGUUACUAGAAUUAGAAAACUUUCUACUUUUGGUAAUGAUGUUAAGAAUACCCAACAAGCAUUUUUGGCGCCGUUGCCAGGGAAGGUUGAUUACUAAUCAGGAAUGAAUAAAGGAUUUUGAGUUAUCAUUCCCAUCACUAAUAUGAUUGAGCUUAUCAAUUCUCUCAUACAGUUUUACCCUAAUAUUUACUAUUUUUAUCUUAUGCACGGGAAUGUAUGAAUAAAAGACAUCUUCCAGAACAUUUUGUUGUCAAUCCUGAAGCAUUAUUCAGAAAAACAAGAGCCAAGCUCAAGAAGAGAUCAUCAACACUUCAGCAAGAAGCUUCAUCCAAUCAAGAAGAUCACCGGAACUUGUCUUCAGAGUUCGAAGCCAUGGCGAACAAAUCAAUCCGUGAGUUCUCAGCUCCCACUACGGACAACGUCCGCACUGGACCUGCUGCAGAGAUCGAUGGCCACUUUGAGCUCAAUCCUGGACUUAUCAACAUGGUGCAAUCCAACCAGUUCUGUGGGAAGGCACACGAAGAUGAUAGUGCUCAUCUCCAACACUUCCUGGAGAUUUGCAACACAUUUACCAUAUCAGGAGUCCCCAGAGAUGCUAUACUACUUCGCCUCUUCCCAUUCUCACUGUUAGGAAGAGCGAAGGAGUGGUUUUACGCUACAAAGGAGAAGAACACUACGUGGGCACUCUGCUCAACAAACUUCCUGGCUAAGUCCUUUCCCAUGGGCAAGACCAAUGCUCUCCGUGGGAAGAUUAUAAGUUUUCAGCAACAAAAUGAUGAAUUUGUUCCAGAAGCAUGGGAGCGCUUCCAAGACUACAUCCUAGAAUGUCCCCAUCAUGGAAUGGAGAGUUGGCUACUAAUGCAGACAUUUUAUCAUGGGCUCGGCAACAGUGCCCGAGAGACCAUGGAUGCUGUAGCUGGAGGAGCAUUCUUAUCACUUACCAUAUCACAAGCCAUAGCUCUUGUGGAGAAGAUGGCAUCCAAUCAAGGCUGGAAUGAAGAGAGGACCCAAACACGCAAGAGAGGUGGAGGUAUACAUCAGCUCAAGGAGGUAGACAUGCUAUCUGCAAAGCUAGACCUGCUCAUGAAGAAGCUCGACAAUAGAGCUGGAGAUAAGAAAGAAGUUUUGCACAUCUACGACUCUCACAUGACUUGUGAGGAGUGUGGAGAUACUGGACACUCAGGCAAUCACUGCCCUGAGAUGCUUGAGGAUGUGAACUACAUCAACAAUAACAUCAACAACUACUACAACCGUCCUCAACAAAAUCAAGGUUGGAAUCAACAGAGGCCUAACUACUCAGGUAAUUAUCAAGGUAACAAUUCUUACAACAAUAACAAUAAUUUUCCACCUCUGAGAGAGUUAGUGUCUAAUCAAGGAAAGCUAAUGGAUAACCUAUCUAAGAAAUUGACAUCUAAUAAUAAAAUGCUAGAAAAUAUAAAUAAUAAAAUGGAUAAUUUCUCUACUGCCAUCAAGAAUCAAAUUAGCUUUAAUAAAAUGUUUGAAUCUCAAUUAAAUCAAAUAGCUGCUGCUGUUCCUACUACUAAGCCCGGUAUACCAUCACAACCGGAAGGAUUAGAAUCUGCAAAUCUUGUAGACAUGUUUGAUACAGGUAAUAACUGGAGUAACCCCAUCACUAAAUUCACUACUGACCUUCUGCCGGUCAAGAGAGGCGACCCAGGACGCCCCGUCAUCCCGAUCUCCAUCGGCAUGGUGGACGUCCCAGAAGCACUCUGUGACUUUGGCUCUAGCGUCAACAUUAUACCCAGGGUACUCUAUGGAAAAUACUUUACAUAUCCUUUAUUAGAGACAACCAUGUGUUUGCAUUUUGCACAUCAGACGAUAAGUUUCCAAAAGGAAUCUUGAAGAACUUUUGUGUCCGAGUUGGUACCUUGUAUGCCCGAGCAUACUUCAUGGUGAUAGAGACCGGUAAUGAUGAGAGGGCACCCAUCAUCUUAGGGAGGCCAUUCUUGAACACCUCAGGAGCUAUCUUCUACGCUAGUGUUGCCAAGAUCAGUUUCUACAUCAAAGGGAGGAAGGAGACGUUUUCCUUCAAAAACAAGACUACACAAAUCCCAGAUCAAUACAGACGUGAAUCAAGGAAGAGGACCAACAGGAGGAACAGGAACAAGCAAGUGCGGACCGAGUCAGCUAAGAUGGUCACUGUAGUUCAUAGAGGCCAAGAUCAACAACUUAAGUCACCAUUUUUGACCAAGAAGGAUGACCCAGGAUUGCCAAGCAUCUACUGCUCCAUAAAUGGAUACAACUUCUACAAGACGACUUGCGACAUCAGAUCGGGCGUCAACAUAAUGGCCGCAGUCACCUAUCGGCUCUUGUUCGGAACCAUGCCCCUGAAACCAACAUACAUUCAGCUCCAGAUGGCAGAUCAGACGUUUCAAGAAGUUAAAGGUACGGUAAUUGAUGUCCCAGUCAAAAUAGACGAUCAUUUUAUCUACACAGACUUUCAGGUUAUUGACAUGGGAGAAGACGAAUACGGUCCACCCAUCAUCCUUGGAAGACCGUUCCUCAGCUCCGUUAAAGCAAUCAUCUACAUUGGAACCGGAGAAGUGCAUAUGCACCUCCCCUCAGAGAAGGUACGCCGCUAUUUUACUGACCCUAACUAUAUUGUUGAAGACUCCAAGUAGGUCAAAAAACGACGCAACCGCAACUAGAGGAGGCAAAUCAUCAAGGACGGAUGGGCAGACUAUGAAGGAGAAGUAGUAAGGUCAGAAGACGUACAGUUUAAACAGAAUUAUCCAGAGGAGACUGAAGCACCGAGUCAGGUAUGGAGAGAGAAAAUAACUAUACAUGAAGAGGAGGCGCUGCCGGAAGUACCGACUACGCCUCCCAACGAAUCUCAGGACAACUGAAAAUACGGAGAGUCCCGUUCGGAGGACUUAAAAACACCGAACGCCUUGCCAAGAGGUAAACUUGGUGUUAUCCUUUCCCUUUCAAUUAUUUCAAAUAGUUUGCUUAGUCAAUCAUGUUCAUACUAUCCUAAAAAGAAAAUAAAAAUGUGAAAAAAUAGUAAGCCCCAUGUGAGUAUACGAGUGGCAUAAAACCCAUAAGUACAUUCACUAUGGUGGCAUAAAAAUAAAAUAAAUAUUUCUUUUCUGCUUUAUAAAAUAAAAAUAUAAAAAUAGGGAGUAACAUUUAUUAAGGAGUCUCAACAUGAUAAAGGCUAGAUAUUUAUGCUAACACUUAAUCAGUUCCACAAGCUUUGUUGUCUAUUUGAGCUCCACAGAAUUUAAAAAUCAAGAAGACUAGCAAACGGAGGACAUUCUAAUCGCUGUCAAGAUACUGCCGACUUUCAAAUACACCUCUACCACCUGCUAGCUACAUCAAGAGAAAUUACGUCAAAAUUUAGCUUAGGGGAGAGCACCCCCAUUUAUCCCGCUAAGUAUUUCUAUCUAUCUUUAUACUUAUACUAUAUUAAAAUAUAAAUAUACAUAACUAUGAAAAACCAAAUAAAGAUUUUAUGCUUAUAUAUAUAUAUCUUUUGCUUAGUGUGUUUAAUAAAUAAAUAAAGUGGCUAUGCUAAUCUGAAUCUUAAUAAUAAAACUCUAGCAUGGAUAUGAUGAAUAGUUGCUCUGCCCAAUUUUAAAAUUUGAAGUUCUCUCUCAAGUUUAGACAUAACUGUUAUAAUUUAAAGCUUGCUCUAAACCUAAACUUGUGGGAUGAAAACUUGAUCUGAAGUCCAAGUUGUUAACGGAUAUGAUAUAGGAAGGUUGAGCUGUUGUUUAUCUGUUCCUAGAGAUGCUAGAAUUCUAGAGAAUUUUAUCUUUUAAAAUCUUUAAAAUAUUGUAUGAUGACUUCCUGUAUGAUGAGAGUUUAAAUUCCAACCACAACCAUAUAUACAUGCUUGCUAGACUUUGAGCCACACAUUUACUAUUUACUCCUUAUGAGCAUUGAGUGUGGUCAAGCUGUGUAGACCCUUAGAAGCUUGUCAUGUGGUUAAAUCAAGAUUCACUUGCACGUUCAUUCACAUAUGCUGCUUCUACUCCGGAAGUACCAUGCACAUAUAUCCACCCAUUUCCAUCUCCAGAAUCACCCAGAAAUAUUCUACUCCUAAUCCGGGGAGAGAAUAGCCAAAAAUAUUUCUGUUUUUCCCUGUGAAAUAAAUGCUCAAGUUAUCUUGUUACUACCACUUGCUAUAUUAUCUCAAGAGAUGAGUGCUCUAAAAAAAAAGAGAGAAAGAAAAAAGUAUACGAGGAAAUAAAAAGGGGCAAGUACCCGGAACCUCGAAAGAAAAGAAAAAGUGAGACGAGAGGUAAAAAUGGACAAGUGUCCGACAGUAGAAUUAGGGGUACAAGAUACCCACCAGAGAGGAAAAAAAGAGAAGAGCAUCUCAUUCUCCUCAUAAAGUUUCAAAAAGCAAGGAAGGUAUGUAUCCCCUCAAAGAGCAAAAGUAGAAUUAGACUUUCACCAUUGUUAUCAGAAUCAUCACCAUACACCAUUCAUUCGCCACACAUGCACAUCUUGAUUUGACUUAUUGAUUUGUUUCUUUGGAUCCAUGGUUUGACUAUACAAUAAAUGUCUUGUAAGUAUGUAUACUUUAUCUCCCACCUAUGUGCUCCAAAUAUUAAAGCUUUAUUAGAGUAGGGUGAGAGAGAAGACAAUGUCACUAUGCUUUAUACCAUAAAUACCACAUAUUUUGAGAGAAGGCAUAUACCAUCACUGCCUUGGUAAGGAUCCAGAAAUACCACAAAAGAGAGAUAUGAGAGAGUCAUACAAGGAAUCUCUAAGUUUUAUUUGAAAAUCUUCAAAAACUCCAGAGCUAUAGCUGAUCAAGAAUAAGAGACAUGACACUUGACUAGACCGUUCUAUCUUUUAACCACUCAAGACAGAAGUGACGGUUACAAGUCCCAUGGUGAAAGGUAAAGUAAGUAAGUUUUAAGUCUUGACAGUUUACUCUAAUUUAGAGAUGAUAUCUUAUUUAAAAGCAAGUGUACCAUCAAUUUUUAAAAAAAUAUGUUGCAACAACUUCUGAUCCAUCGCUGAGUCUAUCCUUGCUCAGGGACGAGCAAGAGGUAAGCUUGGGGGAGUUUGUUGACGGUCCUUAAGUAUCAAAUUUAAUUAUCAAAUAAACAAAGAAAAGGAUCCAAAUGAAAUCAGCAACUAGACUUAGGGUUUUAUCUGACAAAAUUCCAUGAGUUUUGGUGUUUGUCUAUUUCUGCAGGGGGUUAUCAGGAAAUACGGAAUAAAGGCCCACACGUCGGGAUUACAUAGAGAUAUCAAUGUGCCGUGCAAUUAUCUUACAUCUAGAAGACUCAAGAAGCCACGGGAAGGAAGCGGAGGCCGAACGGGGCCUGGCCUUGGGCGCCCGCCCAGGUAACCAGGGCGCCCGCCCCCCUUCUGAGUCCAAUCAGGACUCUCUUUCGGGAAAGAUCUCCACCGACCUAAAGGAUCAAGGAUAACCGUUCAAUCAAUGUCGGUUUGAUCCAACGGCCCAUAUUCACUUGAAGGGACUAUAAAACUAGACCCCCUGGCCCUUGGAGGAGAGAGCCUCUCAACCCUAAUUCAUUAUUCUCAAGGGAGAAGAAGCCUCUGAUCAAGAUUAGAGCCACCACAUCAAUUAGAUAUCUAGAUUAGCAUAGCUACAUAGGAUUAGAACUAGAAGGACUCAAUCUUCGAUUGGUUUCCGGAUCUGUCAAGAGGAUUCUUGGUAAUUCUCUAAUUGUGCUUCUAAUUGUUCUUCUAAUCAUCUUUGUUCUUCAAUAUUAUGAAUAUGACUUUAUUCUACUUCAAUAUAUUGCUUAUGACAUUGCUCUACUUGUUUAUAUUCAAGAUUAUAUUGUUCUUAGUUUAUCAUAGUUAUGUGCUUGGCUUAGUUCGAUUGGAUCUAUAUACAUGCUUACGAUCGUAUAGCGUUUAUCCAUCGGAUCCAUAGGUAAAUGAUAGAUAUUAUGUAGGCGUGGUGCUUAUACCGUAUUUAUCUGCGAUUGUACCCAAUAUGCCAGAUCGUGGGGUAGUUCGUGAUAGUGACAGCUUCAUUGAUUGUUAUAUAGUCCCCCUCUCGUGUAUUGGGCUGGUAGAGCAAUAUUAUUACAGGGGAGUGAUUGCUAUGUUUCUCAUUUACCUUGCUAAUAUCACUAUGCAUGGGCGUAGUCUUGUCUCGCAAUGAUUUCUAAGUAUGCUUGCACUAACUAUGAUAAUGUUAGACUAUAUUGUUGAGAAUAACUUAGAAUAUAUUCUUGUAGUAAUAUCCCAUUCAUUAUUUAUUUAGAAGAGCAAUUGCAUAUUUCAAUACCGCGUCUCUCAUGUCAUGCUGGGGAUGACAACUUGGCUUAAGUGGUAUGAGAGAUAGGUUUGGCAUUUUUGGCACCGUUACUAGAAUUAGAAAACUGUCUACUUUUGGUAAUGAUGUUAAGAAUACCCAACAUUAUUCUUAACUAUAAAGUCUAGCAUAUCAUAGUUAGUGCAAUUAUACUUGGCAAUCAUUGCGAGACAGGACUACGCCCUUGCAUAGUGAUAUUAUCAAGGAAGAUGAGAAAAAUAGCAAUCACUCCCCUGUAAUAAUGUUGCUCUGCCUGCCCUAUACACGAGAGGGGGACUAUAUAAGAAUCAAUGGAGCUGUCACUACCACAAACUACCCUGCGAUCCGGCAUAUAGGGUACAAUCGUAGAUAAAUACGGUAUAGGCACCACGGCUACACAAUAUUUAUCAUUUACCCACUGUACACAUGGAUAAACGCUAUACGAUCCUAAACAUGUAUAUAAUUCCAAUCUAACUAAGCCAAGCAUAAAACUAUGAUAAACUAAGAACGAUAUAAUUGCAAAUAUAAACAAGUAGAGCAAAGUCAUAAUCAAUAUAUUGAAGUUGAACAAAGUCAUAUUCAUAAUAUUGAAGAACAAUGAUGAACAAAUGAAGAACAGUAUAGGAAUUACCAAGAAUCAUCUUGAUAGAUCCGGAAACCAAUCGAAGAUUGACUCCUUCUAGUUCUAAUCCUAUGUAGCUAUGCUAAACUAGAGAUCUAGUUGAUGUGCUGGCUCUAGGGCUUGAUUAGAGACUUCUUCUCCCGAGAUGAAUGAAUGAAUUAUGGCUUUAGAGGUCCUCUCCUCCAGGGGCCAGGGGCCUGCUUAUAUAGUCCUUCCAAAUGAAUAUGGGCCGUCGGAUCAAACCGACCUUAAUCGCACGGUUUUCCUUAAUCCUCUAGGUCGGUGGAGCAUGAUCCGUGAGGUGGAGCCUAAUUGGCUCUCUGGCCAGGGCGGGUGCCCAAGGGGAGAGGGCGGGCGCCCUGUCCCCGGGCCCUCUCGGCCUCCCGCUCGUUCCAGUGGCUUCUGGACUCUUCUAGAUGUUGGAUAAUUGCGGUGCACAUUAAUAUCUCUAUGUAAACCCGACGUGUGGGCCUUUCUUCCAUGUUUCCUGAUAACCCCCUGUAGAAAUAGACAAACACCAAAACUCGUGGAAUUCUGUCAGAUAAAACCCUAAAGUCUGGGUGUCGAUUGCAUUUGGAUCCCUUUCUUUGUUUAUUUGUUGAUUAUAUUUGAUACUUAAGGACCGUCAACAAACUCCCCCAAGCUUACCUCUUGCUCGUCCCUGAGCAAGGAUAGACUCAGUGAUGGAUCAGAAGCUGCUGUAAUGCCAUUAAAAGUUGACGGUACACAUGCUUUCAAAUGAGGUCUCAUAUUUGAGUUAGAGUAAGCUGUCAAGAUUAAAACUUACUCAUUUUACCUUUUACCAUGGGACUUGUAAUCAUCACUUCUGUCUUGAGCAGUUAAAAGAUAGAACGGUCUAGUCAAGCGCCAUGUCUCUUAUUCUUGAUCAGCUAUAGCUCUGGAGUUUUUGUAGAUUUUCAAAUAAAACUCAGAGAUUCCUUUGUAUGACUCUCUCAGAUCUCUCUUUUGUGGUAUUUCUAGAUCCUUACCAUGGCAGUGAUGGUAUAUGCCUUCUCUCAAAGUAUGUGGUAUUUGUGGUAUGAAGCAUAGUAAACUUGCCUUCUCUCUCACCCUACUUUAAUAACGCUUUUGAUAUCUGGAGCUCAUAGGUGGGAGAUAAAGUAUACAUACUUACAAGACAUUUAUUGCAUAGUCAAACCAUGGAUCCAGAGAAACAAGUCAAUAAUUCAAAUCAAGAUGUGCAUGUGUGGCGAAUGAAUGGUGUAACAAUGGUGAAAGUCUAAUUCUACUUGUUGUGCUCUUUUGAGGGGAUACUUACCUUUCUUGCUCUUUGAAACUUUUUGAGGAGAAUGAGAUGCUCUAUAUUUUCUUUUUCUUUCCCCUCAGGUGGGUAUCUUGUAUCCCUAAUUCUACUAUCGGACACUUGUCCAUUUUUACCUCUCGUCUCACUUUUUCUUUUCUUUCGAGGUUCCGGGCACUUGCCCCUUUUUAUUUCCUCGUAUCUUUUUUCUUUUUUUUCUUUUUUAGAGCACUCAUCUCCUGAAAUAAUAUAGCAAAUGGUAGUAACCAAGAUAACUCGAGCAUUUAUUUCACCAGGAAAAAACAGAAAUAGGAGAAUGUUUUUGGCUAUUCUCUCCCGGAUUAGGAGUAGAAUACUUUUGGGUGGCUCUAGAGAUGGAAAUUAGUAGAUAUAUGUGGUGCGUAAUUCCGGAGUAGAAGCAGCAUGUGUGAGUGAACGAGCAAGUGAAUCUUAAUUUUAACCGCAUGGCAAGCUCCUAAGGGUCUACACAGCUUGACCACACUCAAUGCUCAUAAGCAGUAAAAAGUAAAUGUGUGGCUCAAAGUCUAGCAAGCAUGUAUAUAUGGCUGUGGUAGAAAUUUAAACUCUCAUCAUACAAGAACUCAUCAUGUGAUAUUUUAAGAUUUUCAAAGAUAAAAUUCUCCAGAGUUCUAGCAUCUCUAGAAACAGAUAAACAGCAGCUCAACCUUCCCAUAUCAUAUCCGUUAACAACUUAGACUUCAGAUCAAGUUCUCUUCCCACAAGUUCAGGUUUAGAGCCAGCUUUAAAUUAUACCAGUUAUGUCUAAACUAGAGAGAGAACUCAAAUAUGAAAAUUAGGCAGAGCAACUAUUCAUCAUAUCCAUGCUAGAGUCUUAUUAAGAUUCAGUUUAGCAUAGCCACUUUAUUUAUUUAUUAAGCAUACUAAGCAAAAGAUAUAUAUAUAAGCACAAAAUCUUUAUUUGGUUUUUCAUGGAUAUGUAUAUAUAUAUUUUUUUAAUAUAGUAUAAGUAUAAAUGCAGAUAGAAAUACUUAGCGAGAUAAAUGCGGGUGCUCUCCUCCAAGCUGGAUUUUAACGUAAUUUCUUCUGUUGUAGCUAGCAGGUGCUGGAGGUGUAUUUGAAAGUCGGCAGCACCCUGACAGCAAUUAGAAUGUCCUCCGUCUGCUAGUCUUCUUGAUCCUUGAAUUCUGUGAUCUCCAAUAGACAACAAAGCUUUGUGGAACUGAUUAGAUGUUAGCAUAAUAUUUAGAGCCACCUCAAUAAAUGCUACUUUCUUUGGUAGGAUCACAAUUUUAUUUUUGUAUUUUCAUUUUUAUAGAGCGGAAGAAUAUUUUUAUUUUAUUAUUAUUUUUUUAUGCCACCGUAGUGAAUGUACUUACGGAUUUGAUGCCACUUGUAUACUCACAUGGGACUUACUGGUUUUAACAUUUUUAUUUUCUUUUUAGGAUAGUAUGAAUAUAAUUAACUAAGCAAACUACUUUAAAUAAUUGAAAGGAAAAGGAUAACUACCAAGUUUACCUCUUGGCAAGGCGUUCGGUGUUUUUAAGUCCUCCGAACGGGACUCUCCGUUUUCUCAGUCGUCCUAGGAUUCGCUGGAUGGUAUAGUCGGUGUUACAGAACCGACCAAAUUAUAAGAGUUCAAGUGUAGAAACAAUCGACAAGCAAUCAAGUUUCCAAACUUGAGCCCAUAUAAUACUGGUAGUCAAUUGAAAUCACGAAGGACUUCAAACCAACUUGCAACAAACCAAGAUCGUAAUAACUCAGCACAACACAGCGAAUGUUACAUAGUCAUUCAUUGCUAUCGAAGCGGCACCACAUCGGAGUUAUUAAGUUAUUACAACACAUGUUCGAAGUAGCGGAAGCAAAAUAAUUACACAACGGAAAACAUCGUCAUAACAUAACGAACAUGUUAAGAUUGCACAUUGGGUCUACAAAGUUAUUACACCAUCACAGUACAUGCCAUGAGUCAAGGUCAAAGUUCCGGAUUACAACAUGGGUACAAAAGCAUCACCGCUAGCUGCCAGACUACAGAAGAUCCUCACAUAACACUACCCACUAGUCCCUACACUCCAGGCUCAUCGUCCGAGUCAGCGUCGAAGAUUGCAUCUCCAUCCUCAUCGCUAACUGACUCAAGCUCCUCGUCCUCCACGUCCUCGUGCAAGGGUGGUGCAUCCGCUGCUGGUCCAUCGAUCUCCAUACCAUCAUCAUCGGCCACAAUCACCUGAGGUCCCACCUCUGGAUACACGGGUAUAGGGUGAGGAAUAGGGUGUAACAAGUUGUUGAGACGGUGAAUCUCCACAAGACCAGCCUCAAUCUGAUCCUGUAGAUAGUUCUCCCGCUCAAGCGACUGAACCCGGUGCAUCUCCCAAGCCCGGCGCCAGUUCUCCGACACACGGAGUGCAGUGUCCCUCUCACGAGUGAUCUGCACCAAGCGCUCCUGUAUUGUCUCCCUCUCUCGAGACAACUGGCUCAUAUGAUCCUGCUUAUGAUCCCUCUCCCUAAUGGCCUUCACCCACGCAAUGCCUUUCCAGUCAUUGCGGUCCUUCUGAGCUUGCUCCAGGAGUCUAGCUUGCUUGUGAAACUUGCGAGCACGCUUUUCAGCCUUCCGUUGCAUCUCCUGAGCCUGGCGAACAGCCACCAUCACCUGUGCAUAGGUGUCCUCUCGCUGACUGAUCAGUUUGAGCACAGCCAUCAUAGCACUCAUAGCAGGACUAGAGCUCUCAGCUCUCUCUCCCCUGCCUCAAACCAAAGCACAACCAUCAGCCUGUUUCCACUCCGCUGCUGCUGGGUCAGCACGGGGAAUGGAGGCCGCUGGUCCUCCUGUCAACUCAUCGCCACACCUCUGACAGAUAUCGAGUAGGAUAGUCUAGGCUGCAACCUGAGCUGCUUCCCAAGGAGUCUGCCCAUCUGAGCUACAGGUCCACCCUGUCCAUGCAGGCUUGCUCCCAUGUGGAGGGACAACUCCCUGCACAGCAAACCACUGCAACUCUCCUGUCCUAUCCAACUCCCACCAAGAAUACUGAGGUGGCUUAGUAUACCCUACUGACUGUAGCACUCUCCAGAGCAAAGUAGGAGUGCCAAACUCGCUCAAGAAAGUGUCACUGAGACAGGGUGAAGCGGGCGCAUCUAUCUAUGGAAAGGAAUAGGAAUACUGUUGACACUUGCUAACACCACUUGAAUACUAGGUUGUCAUCCCCAGCAUGGCACUAGAGUGUACUAUGGUAUUUAUACGCACACAGAUAAUCCGCAAGCGCACGGAUACCGUUGAAGCUUUUAGCCGGUUAAAGGUUUUAUCGUAUCCACAGGGAAACGGGAGAACCAACUACGCUCUAACUUAACCAAGAUAGAUAGAUAGGUGUAAAUAGGAAAGAUGAUAGAAUCGUAUAAGAACAAUAUUAAAGGUAAGAUAACAGUGAGUGAUAAUAUGGGAAUAGAGAGUAGAGAAAUUCUAGUAUAUGGGCGAUGGUAGCAGAAUAGAGAGGAUAACUAUGGUUUCUCUACUUCAAAGGGGUAUGUCUAUGUCUGGGACGAACCACGUGAUAAGAGUACACCACAAAGGAUGCUUAUCCAUAGGCCGAUAAACCCUACCCAUCCUGCUAACGAGAGGUGGACUACAGGGGACCAACGUAACUGUCACCUAUGCGGCCUACUACACGAUCCAGCUAGUCAGGGGAUAUCCACAAGUAAUCUAGGUCUAAGCACCACGCUUACACCUAUACUACAACUCUAACCUAUAGGGUCCUAUAGAUUAGAAGUACUCAAAAGAGUUGUGAACCAGAACAUACAUGAUUAGUAAUUGCAUAAUGAAUUAGAAGUAGAUUACCAGAGUCAUCCCAUGAGCAAGCUUGAUUGGAGCUUGAUCAUGGCGAAGUACAACCGGAGGAAGAACCAACAGGCCGGCCUCUCCUCUAAUCCUCCUUCGCUCUCCAUCUCGCUACUAUCUAGAUCUACUCUAGUUUAGAGAAGAGAGGAGAGCUCUCAUCUCUAAACCCUAGCUUUUGCUCUGACUAUGAAUAAUGAAUAAUGAUCAAGGGGUGUCUCCUCCAGGGGCCAGGGGGUCUGGUUUUAUAGUCCCCUCAAGUGAACCUGGGCCGUCGGAUCAAACCGACAUUGAUUGAACGGUUAUUCUUGAUCCUUUAGGUCGGUGGAGCAUAAUCCGCGAGAUUGAGCGUGAUUGGCCACAGGAGGUGGGCGGGCGCCCUAAGGACUUGGGCGGGCGCCCUGUCCCUGACUCCGUUCGGUCUCCGCUUCCUUCCCGUGGCUUCUGGAGUCUUCUAGAUGUAAGAUAAUUGCGCAGCAUGUUAAUAUCUCUAUGUAAUCCCGAUGUGUGGGCCUUUCUUCUGUAUUUCCUGAUAACCCCCUGCAGAAAUAGACAAACACCAAAACUCGUGGAAUUCUGUCAGAUAAAACCCUAAGUCUAGAUGUUGAUUUCAUUUGGAUCCUUUUCUUUGUUUAUUUGAUAAUUAAAUUUGAUACUUAAGGACCGUCAACAAACUCCCCCAAGCUUACCUCUUGCUCGUCCCUGAGCAAGGAUAGACUCAGCAAUGGAUCAGAAGUUGUUGCAAUAUCUUAAAAAUUUGACGGUACACAUGCUUUUUAAAUAAGUUCUCAUCUCUGAGUUAGAGUAAACUGUCAAGAACUAAAACUUACUUACUUUACCUUUCACCAUGGGACUUGUAACCGUCACUUCUGUCUUGAGUAGUUAAAAGAUAGAACAGUCUAGCCAAGUGCCAUGUCUCUUAUUCUUGAUCAGCUAUAGCUCUGGAGUUUUUGUAGAUUUUCAAAUAAAACUCAGAGAUUCCUUGUAUGACUCUCUAAAUCUCUCUUUUGUGGUAUUUCUGGAUCCUUACCAAGGCAGUGAUGGUAUAUGCCUUCUCUCAAGAUAUGUGGUGUUUGUGGUAUAAGGCAUAGUGACAUUGCCUUCUCUCUCACCCUACUCUAAUAAAGCUUUAAUAUCUGGAGUUUAUAGGUGGGAGAUAAAGUAUACAUACUUACAAGACAUUUAUUGUGUAGUCAAACCAUGGAUCCAGAGAAACAAAUCAAUAAGCCAAAUCAAGAUGUGCAUGUGUGGCGAAUGAAUGGUGUAUAGUGAUGAUGGUGAUAACAAUGGUGAAAGUCUAAUUCUACUUUUGCUCUUAUGAGGGGAUACAUACCUUCCUUGCUUUUUGAAACUUUAUGAGGAGAAUGAGAUGCUCUUCUUUUUCUUUCCUCUCAGGUGGGCAUCUUGUACCCCUAAUUCUACUGUCGGACACUUGUCCAUUUUUACCUCUCGUCUCACUUUUUCUUUCUUUCGAGAUUCCGGGCACUUGCCCCUUUUUAUUUCCUCGUUUAUUAUUAUUAUUUAUUUUUUUUCUUGUCUUUUCUUUUUUUCAGAGCAGUCAUCUCCUGAAAUAAUGUAGCAAGUGGUAGUAACCAAAAUAACUGGAGCAUUUAUUUCACAGGGAAUAACAGGGAUAGGAAAAUGUUUUUGGCUAUUCUCUCCCGGAUUAGGAGUAGAAUAUUUUUAGGUGAUUCUGAAGAUGGAAAUGGAUGGAUAUAUGUGGAUGGUACUUCCGGAGUAGAAGUAGCAUAUAUGAGUGAACGUGCAAGUGAAUCUUGAUUUAACCACAUGACAGGCUCCAAAGGGUCUACACAGCUUGACCACACUCAAUGCUCAUAAGCAGUAAAUAGUAAAUGUGUGGCUCAAAGUCUAGCAAGCAUGUAUAUAUGGCUGUGGUAGGAAUUUAAACUCUCAUCAUACAGGAACUCAUCAUGCAAUAUUUUUAAAGAUUUUUCAAAGAUAAAAUUCUCCAGAAUUCUAGCAUCUCUAGGAACAGAUAAACAGCAGCUCAACCUUCCCAUAUCAUAUCCGUUAACAACUUAGAUUUCAGAUCAAGUCUUCAUCCCACAAGUUUAGAUCUAGAGCAAGCUUUAAAUUAUAACAGUUAUGUCUAAACUUGAGAGAGAACUUCAAAUUUGCAAAUUAGGCAGAGCAACUAUUCAUCAUAUCCAUGCUAGAGUUUUAUUAUUAAGAUUCAUAGCAAACUUUAUUUAUUUAUUUAUUUAUUUAGCAAACUAAGAAAAGAUAUAUAUAUAUAUAUAAGCAUAAAAUCUUUAUUUGGUUUUUCAUAGUUUAUGUAUUUUAAUAUUCUAAUAUAAUAUAAGUAUAAAGAUAGGUAGAAAUACUUAGCGAGAUAAAUGGGGGUGCUCUCCCCCAAGCUGAAUUUUGACGUAAUUUGUCUUGAUGUAGCUAGCAGGUAGCAGAGGUGUAUUUGAAAGUCAGCAGUAUUCCGACAGCGAUUAGAAUGUCCUCCGUCUGCUAGUCUUCUUGAUUCUUAAAUUCUGUGGAGCUCAAAUAGACAACAAAGCUUGUGGAACUAAUUAAGUGUUAGCAUAAAUAUCUAGCCUUCAUCACGUUGAGCUUCCUCAAUAAAUAUUACUCCCUGUUUUUAUAUUUUUAUUUUGUAAAGUAGAAAAGAAAUAUUUAUUUUAUUUUUAUGCCACCACAGUGAAGGUACUUAUGGGUUUUAUGCCACUCGUAUACUCACACGGGGCUUAGUAUUUUUUAAUAUUUUUAUUUUCUUUUCAAGAUAGCAUGAUUAACUAAUAAUCUAUUUAAGGAAAGUAAAUAAUUAAAUGGAAAAGGGAAUGCAGAAUGGAUAAAUAUGGAUAACUACCAAUCUUACCUUUCGGCGAGGGUUCAAUGUUUUAAGUCUUCUUGUCAAGACUUCUCAUCGUGUUCAUUCUUCAGGUGCGUCAUUUGAUUCAGGUGCGGACCUUGACGUCUGCACCUUUUAAUACGGUGUCACCCAUGUUCUUCGUUUGCCCAGCAGUUCGAAGUGCGGUGUUAGCAGUAUCUUGCUCAGUGUGUUUGUGCUCGUAGUGUACCUGCUCAUAGAGACAAGGCAGAGAUCAAGUGCAUGGGCCCUGUUGGUGGAAAACACCAACAGAACCAAAAGUGUAUUUCUUCUCUAACUUUAAGCAUAGUGAGCAUGACAAAGUUGAUGGAUGAUAAGUUCAUGAGUGUAGCACUUAUAACAUUUGUCAGAUCAGAUCGCUCAGCCUUAUGAAAAGAUAAUCUAUCUAUGUAUAUGUCUUUUUCUUUAUAUCUCUCAAUGAUUGAAUGUGUAACAUUUUAGCUCAUAUGAUUAGGAGUGUGGGAUCAUGGAGGUAGUACUAAGAACAAGGAUUAAAGGACUAAACAUGUUGAAUCAGUUGGGUUGGUUAAUCUAGAGUUGUAAAUCAUACACGUUUGUCUCUUUUAUUUAUAUGAACGCCAGAACCAAGGAGAAGCUUAUAAAAGUGAUAGUCAAGUACCUUAAGAUGUUACCUUGCUCGAAGAGUGAUGGUACAGUAUCAUCUUGUGGAAGCUUUCCUUUCUUAGCGGUUGUGCGUCGUGUUUGUGGCACCCUCCAUGGAUCAUCUCUCUAUGAUGAAUGAGCUAUGUCCUUCUUGUGCAAAUUGUUAAACUUCAUGUGUCACUCUCUUCGUCUCUGAUGUGAGUUUAUCUUAGGACUUCCCAAAUCGAUAUUGAAAGUUUUUCUGCAGGGGUUAGUCCGACAAAAUAUACCAAUAUCUACUCAAGCAAUUUUUUUAGUUCAAUAACCAAACUAGACUCCAUGUCUAAUCAGAUUAAGGAAGGCUAUUUAACCUAAGCACCAUGCUAAAUUUAAAUGCCAAUGGAAGUAUGGCGAGUACUUCCAAACUAACACUUGCUAGUAAAUAGACAAAGGUAGCAUGACAGCAUUUAUAGAGAUCUACUCAAGUGGAGAUGAAGUAGUGUGACUAGUAUUUAACAAAUUGAGCAUGUCUCAAAGGUAGGGACAACCAGCAUAGCAACAUGGCAAAGGAUGUUUUUAUGUAAAGUACUCCCCCCAGCUUGAAUUUUGCAAAAUUCAAGUUUGGAUGAAUUUAAUUCAAUAUUGUAUGAUGAUUGGUUGGACAUACCUUGUGCUUGUCAUUCAUCCGAUCUUCUUGCUCCAAUCCUAGAAAGGUUAGUGACAAGAAUACCCGAAGGAAUAUUUUUUUGCAAUUAUCCUUGUAUGCUCAAUACACAAGGUAAUGUUGCAAAUAAUUAAAAGCUCAUGUUACGAUCUGAUCAAUGCUUAUUUUAAAACACUAAGCUUGUCCUUGGGAAACCAUCAGUUUAUGUUGGCGAAGUGGUUUCCCCUCUGACGCCAACCUAUAUCUAGAUCAACUCAACGAGAUCUGCAAUAUUUAUUAUAGACAUAUGCAUCGACAACCGCCCUUUUAAAGUUUUUAUAAAUAGAAAGGAAGAGGGGAUUGGAGAUCUCCAGUGUGGUGAUGUAGGAGAGACCAAUAGAUUGGGAAGAUGUUGCAUAUGAGCAUGGAGUAAACAAAGUGGCUAUGAAAUAAAUUCCAUGCUCAUUAAUGUUAUCUUCGUCUCCAAUCUGAAUGUUCAGAGUUUCUCUUGAAUUGGUCUCACUUAUGUCCUCUUCUAUAGUUGGAUGAAUCUCAUCUUCAAAGGAAGUCAAGAACUCACCAUUUGAAAUUGAGCCAAAGUCAGAAUCCAUUAAGGCUUCUUCCUUAUCCAUCCAUUCUACACAUUCUAGCCAUUUAGAACUUGUGACCAGGAAAAGGGAGGUGUUAGAAUUUUCAAUAUGGCUUAGCUCUCCUUCACUUGAUAUGUCAUCCUCGACUUCUUCAUAACAGGAAUGAGGACAUUCUCUAAGAGAAACAUUAUUGCAAUGAUUUGAAUUAUCCCUGCUUGAAGGUCUCUUAUAGAACCAGAAGUCUAAACCAUCAGCAUCUAAAAGAUUUAAGGUCGGAAUUCCUUCCUCCCUUGGAGAAUUUUGGGGUAUUGAUGGUUUAGGAUCGAUAGCUAAAGUUUGGGAUUGAAGUGGUUGUAAUCUGGCUAUCGAAACUUCUUCUUCUUGUCUAGGAACUGGUUCUGUCUCUUUCUCAGGGAUAUAGAAGCUAGGAGACUUUCCGCUCAUUAAAUCAAUCAAAUUCCAAGCUUCACUAGCGGAUAGGUGGUGGAAAGAUCCUCCAGAGGCCGCAUGAAGGGUUUGCUUAUCUUCCUUACUAAGGCCCUCAAAAAAGUGAAUUAGAAGAACUUCUUCUGGAAUAGAAAGCUUUGGGCCAGUGAGAGUAAGGUUAAUAAAGCGGUCCCAUGAUUUGCCAAGAGAUUCUUCUUCCAGUUGUCUAAAAGAAAGAAUCUCACGCCGAAGUUCCACCACUUUGGAGAUUGGAAAAUAUUUAGAAAGAAAACUACUAUAUAACUCCUUCCAAUCUCCAUGAACACUCCCUACUUUGAGUUUAUACCAAUGUCUAGCUUUUCCCGUUAAAGAGAACGGAAAGAGCUUCCAUUUAAGGGUCUCAUCGGACAUGCCUUCUUUUGAAAGGAGGUCACAGACUCGAUAAAACUCUCUUAGGUGUGUGUAUGGGUUUUCCUCACCUUCUCCUAAGAAAGGUUGUUUUUGAAUAAAUUCUAUGUAUUCGGGGUCUAUCUAAAAACUAGAUGCUAUGAUAGGCUUUGAAGAUUUUGGUGGUUCGAGAUGUGUGCCCAUAGGUCUAUGAAAUUCAUAGAUAGACAUGUUUGAAUUCAUAAUAGACCAGAGAUCAAGGAUUAGAUAAGAAGAAAGAAUAGCAGAGAUGAGGCAAAGGAUAAAAGGAAAAUAUUUUUGUUAUAUAUAUAUAUAUUUUUUAUAAAAUGAUUAAACUAGUUUGUAGUCAACUCAACAACCGUUUCCCCGGCAACGGCGCCAAAAAUGCUUGUUGACACUUGCUAACACCACUUGAAUACUAGGUUGUCAUCCCCAGCAUGGCACUAGAGUGUACUAUGGUAUUUAUACGCACACAGAUAAUCCGCAAGCGCACGGAUACCGUUGAAGCUUUUACCCGGUUAAAGGUUUUAUCGUAUCCACAGGGAAACGGGAGAACCAACUACGCUCUAACUUAACCAAGAUAGAUAGAUAGGUGUAAAUAGGAAAGAUGAUAGAAUCGAAUAAGAACAAUAUUAAAGGUAAGAUAACAGUGAGUGAUAAUAUGGGAAUAGAGAGUAGAGCAAUUCUAGUAUAUGGGCGAUGGUAGCGGAAUAGAGAGGAUAACUAUGGUUUCUCUACUUCAAAGGGGUAUGUCUAUGUCUGGGACGAACCACGUGAUAAGAGUACACCACAAAGGAUGCUUAUCCAUAGGCCGAUAAACCCUACCCGUCCUGCUAACGAGAGGUGGUCUACAGGGGACCAACGUAACUGUCACCUACGCGGCCUACCACACGAUCCAGCUAGUCAGGGGAUAUCCACAAGUAAUCUAGGUCUAAGCACCACGCUUACACCUAUACUACAACUCUAACCUAUAGGGUCCUAUAGAUUAGAAGUACUCAAAAGAGUUGUGAACCAGAACAUACAUGAUUAGUAAUUGCAUAAUGAAUUAGAAGUAGAUUACCAGAGUCAUCCCAUGAGCAAGCUUGAUUAGAGCUUGAUCAUGGCGAAGUACAACCGGAGGAAGAACCGACAGGCCGGCCUCUCCUCUAAUCCUCCUUCGCUCUCCAUCUCGCUACUAUCUAGAUCUACUCUAGUUUAGAGAAGAGAGGAGAGCUCUCAUCUCUAAACCCUAGCUUUUGCUCUGACUAUGAAUAAUGAAUAAUGAUCAAGGGGUGUCUCCUCCAGGGGCCAGGGGGUCUGGUUUUAUAGUCCCCUCAAGUGAACCUGGGCCGUCGGAUCAAACCGACAUUGAUUGAACGGUUAUUCUUGAUCCUUUAGGUCGGUGGAGCAUAAUCCGCGAGAUUGAGCGUGAUUGGCCACAGGAGGUGGGCGGGCGCCCUAAGGACUUGGGCGGGCGCCCUGUCCCUAACUCCGUUCGGUCUCCGCUUCCUUCCCGUGGCUUCUGGAGUCUUCUAGAUGUAAGAUAAUUGCGCAGCACGUUAAUAUCUCUAUGUAAUCCCGAUGUGUGGGCCUUUCUUCCGUAUUUCCUGAUAACCCCCUACAGAAAUAGACAAACACCAAAACUCAUGGAAUUCUGUCAGAUAAAACCCUAAGUCUAGAUGUUGAUUUCAUUUGGAUCCUUUUCUUUGUUUAUUUGAUAAUUAAAUUUGAUACUUAAGGACCGUCAACAAAUACCAUGGGUAAAAGAGGAUUAGUUUAAGCAACAUUUAUUUAAUUAAAAGGGACGACAUUGUAAGGGAAGGAGUAGACAGAAUGUAUGUAUGAAUGUGACAUGAUGCAUGCACGAACCAGACGUCCUCACAAACUUAGAAAAUUAAUAUUCUAACGGAUAUACGGUGGUAUACAUUCGUCUCUCGAUACGAUAACUAGCGAUUUACACAUGCGCUGUUAGAGUACCUGCAGAAAACUUCAUUUCAACCCAACAGUUCCCACAAUAUCACUCAAGAAAGCAGUAAACUAAGUGCACAUUGCUUGGACAUGCCCAAUCAUGCACAAACAAUGACACCACAGCUACCCGAAAAAUUAAAUGCUCCCCAAUUAAGUUUCUUUCGUGGUUCCAUGGUUUUGACAUGAGACAACUCCAGAAAACCACCGCGAACACUCCCCUAGACCGCCGUUUGGACGACCAUGCUCUCACAGCUCACACUUACCAGAGCGUAGGUGCGACGUUGCACAAUUUAAAUCUAGCGACAUAUGUGGCUAAUUCACAUAUGAAGGCUACCUCCACCAUUAGACCACAGGGUAGCAUAGUGCGGUCAUCACACAUCCAUACCUGAGUACUGCCGGAGAUGCAUAAAUAAAACCCCCAAGUCAGUACUUAAAUAGCCACCUAUAGUCCUUAUAUGGGCAAGGAGGAUUCGAUCUCUGGCAUAACUUAAGUAUUGAUUUACACCAUUUUAUUUAAAAACUCUUUUGUUUCUAAAUACACAAACGCUGCAUUUAUAUUGCUGAACUUGCUCCGAUACCAGCUGUCACAGAACCGACCAAAUUAUAAGAGUUCAAGUGUAGAAACGAUUGACAAGCAAUCAAGUUUCCAAACUUGAGCCCAUAUAAUCCCGGUAGUCAAUUGAAAUCACGAAGGACUUCAAACCAACUUGCAACAAACCAAGAUUGUAAUAAUUCAGCACAACACAGCGAAUGUUACAUAGUCAUUCAUUGCCAUCGAAGCGGCACCACAUCGGAGUUAUUAAGUUAUUACAACACAUGUUCGAAGUAGCGGAAGCAAAAUAAUUACACACACUUGUUCAAAGUUCAGUUCACAAGUUCUUGUUAUUGCCAGAGUCUCAUGCCAUCCAUCCAAAAGCAGCAGGUACGAGUUUGUUAGAGAAACAUGCCCAACGGUUAGUCCUCAUCCCUAGCGGGAUGGAGACAGGUCUUGCAGAAGCCAUCCUAAAAGAUAUCGUCUGCAACAGGUGGGAAUAAACCCUGAGUACGAGAUUGUACUCAGCUAGACUUAUCCGUCUUGUAAAACAUAAAAGACACCAAGGAUCAUGCAAGCCUAACAUCAAGUGGAGUUGGUUGACUCAACAUUUGCCAAAAGCUUACAUUAUAACUAAAUUAUUGGGAGAGCAUCAUAUUUAUUCAAUAUCAGCCUACCACUAGAUUAGCACCUGUACUAAAACACUUCACUUGAUUAUUACAAGCAAUAAUAACCAUAUCAAGUUUAUCAUCUGUUCUUCCUUGCUAUCAUCAUUAUCAUGAACCAAGUUCAUUAGUGAAUGCUACGUUUGCCGCUGCUCUGUCAAGUUCUCACUAACCGGGAGAGACGACAAUUCGAAUCGAAUUCCUAUCCAGCUGGAGGGGUAUUCCCAUCACUCACCCAAGCUUCCCCUGCCGGAGAGCCAACGGGUCACCUUUGAUACAACUCCGGAAUCGCGGUUCCGAUAAGCGCCGCACUCCCAGGGCUACCACUCUGCCAGGGAGGUUAGGAAUUUUAACUCACCUGCCUUUGGACUUACGCCAAUGGUCCCCCGCACACCGCACUUCCUCCGGUAGUGCGCACUUUAUACUUAUCGACCUUCCGGCCUGAGUCAUAUUACUCGGCUUCGCAGUCGGAACGAGUUAUCCGGCCAACUAAGUGUUAGGCAUGCGUUCAACAUGACAAGAGGACGUACAACGGUCGGUCCUUAGCUGCCACAGACGGAGUUACUACAACCUUGCAAAACUCUGCCCGGCUUAAGUCAAUUUAAUCAGGUUCCAUCCACGAUAGCAUAUAUAGACCAUCGUGAUCCGACACAACCCUAUAUCGCGCAGGUGACGGAAAAUCACCCGACUUCUACCGAUUAAGCAUGGCUAAGCUGCUACUCGAUCCUAACUCUAUAACCAAGGUGUGGUGGGUUAUCUGGACAAGGAUGGAGUAAAAAUGCAGCAAAGGUUUCAUCACAACUCCUAUACUUAAUGCAGCAAUAGAUAUAACAUAUUAAGUAAACUUUCGAAAGUAAAGGGAGGCUUAGAAUGCUCCGGGGCUUGCCUUUCACGAACGAGGCUGGCUCAUGACUUGGGCACUCAACUUUUUCUUUGGGCUCCUCGAGUCCGACUGGCUGGACCUCCACCUCCUGGCUGCCCUCCUGGCCUUCGGGGUUCGCUUGGAGCUCGAAGGAAGCGGUCACGUCCGAUGCACCUGUUGCAUGCUCAACUAAUAAGAAGAUGUGCAUAAAAGAGGAUGAAUGCUUGACACAUAAAUAAACUCACUGGACACUCAUUUACGGAGUAACGGUUAUAACAAGUUCACACAAGGUAGUAAGUUAACUAAUCAAAAUCUACCAAGUACUAGAACAGCAAGCAUCACAUAACAGAACCAGCUCAGUAAACAGAUCAUAACUAAUACUAGGCAGAUCCAACAAACAUGAGUGAGGACAUACUGGAAAGCUUAUAAAAUUAUGUACACGUCAUCUUUUAACAUCACAGCAAGAUUCAUAGGUUAACCAGGUCAUUUAAACAAAGUUCCAGGCUCUGUCCCAGAAAAACAGAGAACACCUAUUUCUGAAACCCCAACUUGGAACAGCCAUAACUUUCAAAUUACUGAACCAAAUGAUCCCAAAAUUAAACCACAGCUAGUCCAUAAAGUUUACCUCAACUUUGAUUUAGACAAGCCUCCCAGAAAACCAAGUUAGCAACAAGUAAAGACUACAUUACUCCCUUGCUGUCCAGAACAGCUUUUACCCUUUAAUUAAUUAUUUGAUGACAUAACCAAAAUACAAACAGUGCCAACCACAUGACUUAUAAGCACAAGUAUAACAUGAGGUCACCAGAACAUCAUAUAACAACCUCCAAUUAUUUAUUAAGAAGGCAUUUAUUAAUUUAAUUCUAGAAAGGAGCAUAAUUACAAGAUACUAGUAAAAGUGCUCAGAAAAAAAUCUACAAAAAUUACAGAAGCACAAGUAUAGCACCAAAGCAUCACCAUAAAAUUUUUCAAAGCAAUUGCACAUACCAAAUUAAAGAUAUGCAUUUAACAUGUGACAAGGUGUUUAUUUCAUAAAUUGAGAAACAUGACUUAUAUUGUGCCAAACAACAGAUUUUAGAUUAUUUACAUAUUAAAAAUACCAUAAACAAGUUUACUACCAAAGUAGAGCACCAGCAUAAGCACCAAUUAUUUUAUAUGAUUUAAUUAAGAAAAUGAUGAGGACAUCCCAACCAAGCAUGCUCCCUCUAAUUCCAUGCCAACCUCUACACCGACUACGCCGGCACCAGCCCAAGCCAUUGAUGGAGCAAUUACACGUAGCCGAGCCAAGAAGCUACAACAAGAGGUGAACGCGCUACUUUGUGAGAGUUCUAUUAAUGUUAAUGAGAAUAUUAUACUACCUAAGUGUUCUACUUUGGUUGUGCUUAGGUAUACACAUGAGGAGGGAGGUGACCUGGAUCGCAAGGAUUGGAACAACACGGUGCAGAACGGACCAGUUGAGAGAAGGGCAGAUCGGACCAGUACGGUGCAGAACGGACCAGUUGAAAGAAAAGAUCAUAACUUUCACUUUCGAGAUGCUAUGAAGGCCCAUGAGCACUUGUUGGAAAGCUCUUCGAGUCUACUUUCCAAUGAAUCAAGUGGCGACCAGUUUGGAUUCUCUAUAUUACCUGUAGACCAGAAUUAGUACAGACUGCUCAGAAGGUCAAUAGUCUGUCGUGACAGAAUGUUGGUACAACUUGCCAAGUAAAACUCUACCAAUCUACAGCGUUUCGUGGUGCAUGGCAUACGUUGCUGGAAAGCGCUUGGAGUCUAGUUUCACACCCAAGAAACGGUUCAUCAUUUGGACUUCCCAAUAAAAAGUUAUGGUCAGUUUAUUGGAAACUGCUCUGGAGGCCAACAGUCACGUGAAGCCACUUCGGGAAUCCAUUUCGAGAAUCCAUUUCGAGGGGACCUUUCACAUUGCCUUCCCUCAGAAACUCUAUUUCGUUUUCAUACCUAUCUAGCAGGGCUGUUGCUAGUAUAAAUACCCCCUAAGACUCAUUGUAAUCAAAGACUUAUAAUAUUGAGAAUACAAACCACUUUGUUCAGCUGUGUGCUAACAACUUCAGAGAGAGAUCUCUACCCCUUUGCUCUUGUGUUUUCCUUCGCGGAGAUUACAGAAGCGGCCGCGUCAUCGGCACCCAAUCUGUGCUCCUGAUCCUCGAGUUCAGGUUGCGUAGGUUGGUUCUUUGAGAGUGUGGUUGGGCGAAUCCUUGGUUCAGGCUGCCGUAUAGAGACGGUGGUUGGCUCCUUGUGCGUGUCGUCAGGUUGCACUAGUUAUCCUCGCUGCUUGCAGCAAAUUAUCGGCUGAUCUUUAGCUAUUUAUCCUACGUCGUGAAGAUCGGGACAACGACCUCACCAUCUGGUAUCAAAGCUCAAGUUUCCACGGUAGGAAUUUUACCCUUAGCUACAUAUAUAUAUCUUGUUCGUCCUAUCCACCAAAAAGCCAUAAAAAAAUUGCAUUAGCCCUUUGUUUUAGUCUGUUUUUCUUGUGAGUUUGGUUAAGUUUCAGUCCAUUAGAGUUUUGUUUAGUUGCUGAUCAUCAUAUCCUUUGUGUGUCCUUUGUGCCUCUUUUAUAUCUACAAAUCCCUAAAGAAAAUCUGAAACCGGCAUCAACCUUCGCGUAAACUUUGAGCCUAUCAAGUUAGAACGCUGACGGUUGUGUCUUGUUUCAAAAAAAAAGUGUGUGUAAGUGUUAUAUCUGCUCUUGUUCUUAGUUAUAAAAAAAAUAAAGUAUCAAAAAAAAGGAUAGUGAAAAAAAAAGAGAGUUGAGGAAGAAAAGUUGUGAAGAAAGAGUAGAAAGUUCACUCUGUUUAUGUGCUCAAGUUCUGAAUUUUAUAUCAAGACACACAAUCAGUCAUUAUCCAUCUUUGGUGCAAAAUUUUGCUUGGGUUUGAUUGCAACACUUGCAUCCUAGGCAUACUCCUUGUUUGCAUCAAAUCUGAAUUAUCUUUGCGCGUGUGUUUGAUCUAUUUACAUCACUCAUAUCUUGUGGUCAGCACUAGGCAUUGAACUUCUAGUUUGGAUUGUGGUUUAACUUUACAAUAUCAAGAAUUCAGACUGCAUUCCUUGUGAAAUAUAUCCCCACCAAGCUCCACAAAUAACCCACCGUCAUAGGAAAAUACUGAUCUUGGAUUCUCCCAACCAUCAUUCUUGGUUACCACCUCGCAUUGGCCGUUGUAAUCUGCAGGGAACUCACAUGAGCUUCGGUUGGUAAGAGAGGUGAGAUUGUGAGAUUCCACAUAUAAUUCCCUAAUUCUACAUAUACUGUUGCUUUGCCUUCACUAAUUUUUACAGCAAGAUGUCUGAGCAUCCGGAGAUUGAUGAUUGUGUCACCAUGGCACAAUUCGAUGAGAUGAAACAAACCAUGGAGACGCUAACAAACAAUGUUCAAGCACUCAUGAACCGGUUGCAAAUUUAUCCUCAUGAUAAUGCAAAUGGCAGUCACCAUGAAGAUGAAGUUGAAGAAAGUGAAGGAGAAGCUGCUCGUCGUGCAAGGGAACGGCGUAGAGAGCGAGCUGCUGCCAAUGCAAGAAGACCUCCUUUUCCACGACGUGAUCAUGGUGGUAGAGGUGCUGGUCAUGGACAUGGGAGAGGUAUUGGAUUGGAAGAAAGUGAAACUGAGGAAGAGGAUGAACAGCCCCAUUAUGAUGAUCGUCGUCACCGAAGAAAUCGUAGGCGUAAUCAGCACAAUGAAGAGAGGUUUGGCAAGUUAAAAUUCACCAUGCCCCAGUUUGAAGGAGGAUCUGAUCCUGAAGCAUAUCUUACAUGGGAGUUGAAGGUGGAUAAAGUUUUUCAUGUGCAUAAUUAUUUUGAGAGAAAGAAGGUUGCCAUGGCUGCUCUUGAGUUCGAUGGGUAUGCUCUAAUCUGGUGGGAGCAAAUGUUGAAUGAAAGAGAAGAAGCUGGUCAAGGUGAUGUUGUUCAUGGGCUGAAAUGAAGAGAGAAUUGAGAACAAGAUUUGUCCCCAAACAUUAUCGCCGUGAUUUAUUUGACAAGCUACAGAAUCUGAAGCAAGGAAGCCUCAGUGUUGAUGAGUAUUAUAAAGAGAUGGAGAAGGCGAUGAUUAGAGCCAAUGUAAUUGAAGAUGAAGAGCAAACAAUUGCAAGAUUUAUGUCAGGGCUGCAUCGGAAUAUUCAGCGCAUUGUUGAAUUUCAGCAAUAUCGUAAUCUUGUUGAAUUGGUGCAUCAAGCUAGCAAAGCUGAGCGGCAAUUGCAGCAGGAUAUGAAGUCCACUAGAGGAGUAUCUUUCAGCACAAAGAGUGCAGCAAGUGGAAGUAAAUUUGCACCCAAAGGAAGUGGAAGUAAAGGUACAUUUUCCAGCUCAAACGGUGGUGCACGAUCUAGCAACCUUGGUUCUUCUAGUAGCAAAGAGUUGGCUGCUCAAAAUGAGAAAUUCAAAUCAGCAAACUCAGUGGGUUCUUCCAGCAAGAGUAGUGGAAUUCAGUGCUUCAAGUGUGGUGGUCGUGGUCAUGUUGCAAGAGAGUGUCCAAACGCUAGAACCAUCAUUGUGAAUGAUCAAGGGGAGUAUGAAUCUGCUAGUGAGGAAGAACAAGAAGAUAGUGGAAGUGAGAGUAAUCUUGAGAAAGACAUCUGUGAAUUUGAAUCUGGUGCUACUCUUGUUGUAACUCAGAUUUUGAGUGUACAAAUGAGCGAUGCUGAAAAUGGACAGCGACACAAUCUUUUUCAGACUAGAGCUAAAGUGCAAGAUAAGGUUGUCAAAGUGAUCAUUGAUGGUGGCAGUUGCCACAAUCUUGCAAGCAAAGAAAUAGUUGAAAAGCUUGGGUUGAAGCUGCUGAAACAUCCCCAUCUAUAUCAUGUGCAAUGGCUUAAUAAUUCAGGUUCUAUUAAGAUUGCACAAAGAGUGAAAGUUCCAUUCAAGAUUGGUGAAUAUAUUGACACUGUAGAGUGUGAUGUGGCGCCUAUGACAGUGUGCCACAUGCUGUUGGGACGACCAUGGCAAUAUGAUCGAUCGUCUCUACAUUGUGGUAGAACCAAUCAAUACACCAUCAAGUGGAAGAACAAGGGGUUGAUUCUUAAACCCAUGACACCGCAGCAAAUCCUAGCUGAGCACUUGCAAAAGAGCUCCGAAGUGAGGAAUGAGAGUGCAAAAGAAGGAGAGAAAAAUAAUUUGAGUGCCCUCCACAAAUCGGUGAGUGAGAGCCACAAGCCAAACAUGAGAGAUGACACAAAAAGAGAGGGAGAGAACUUCGUGAUGAUAGCCACCAAAUCUGAACUGAGAGAUGUGAGGAAAAACCCAGAUCAAGUACUAUUUGUACUUGUGUGCAAGGACACAUUGCUUUCAGCUAAUGACUUAACAUCUGUCCCUAGUGUUGUUGCACGUGUUUUGCAGGACUAUGAUGAUGUUUUUCCAAAGGAAACACCUGCUGGACUUCCUCCUUUGCGCGGUAUUGAACAUCAAAUUGAUCUCAUCCCUGGAGCUGCACUUCCAAACCGUCCGGCGUACCGCACCAAUCCGGAAGAAACCAAGGAGAUUCAAAGGCAAGUACAAGAACUUUUAGAUAAAGGAUAUGUGCGAGAAAGUUUAAGUCCUUGUGCUAUUCCUGUGAUUUUGGUGCCAAAGAAAGAUGGUUCUUGGAGGAUGUGUGUAGAUUGUAGAGCCAUAAACAACAUCACCAUUCGUUAUCGUCAUCCUAUUCCUAGGCUAGAUGAUAUGCUUGAUGAAUUGAGUGGUUCUAUGAUGUUUUCUAAAAUUGAUUUGAGAAGUGGUUACCAUCAAAUUAGAAUGAAGAUUGGAGAUGAAUGGAAAACUGCUUUUAAAACAAAGUUUGGGCUGUAUGAAUGGUUAGUUAUGCCUUUUGGUUUGACCAAUGCCCCUAGUAUGUUCAUGAGGUUGAUGAACCAUGUCUUGCGAGCAUUCAUUGGAAAGUUUGUUGUUGUUUACUUUGAUGAUAUUCUAAUUUACAGCAAGACAUUGGAGGAACAUGUUGAUCAUAUUAAGCAAGUUUUGGAUGUGCUAAGAAAAGAAAAAUCAUUUGCUAACCUUGAGAAGUGCACAUUUUGUACAAAUCAGGUUGUGUUUCUUGGUUUUGUUGUUUCAGGUUCAGGAAUUCAGGUUGAUGAAUCAAAGGUGAAAGCAAUCAAGGAUUGGCCAACUCCUGAAAAUGUGAGUCAGGUGAGAAGUUUUCAUGGACUUGCUGGUUGUUACAGGAGAUUUGUGAGAGAUUUCAGCACCAUAGCUGCUCCAUUGAAUGAAUUAACAAAGAAAGGUGUUGCCUUCCAAUGGGGUGAACCACAAGAGAGAGCAUUCCAAGAAUUCAAGAAGAAGCUAUCCGAAGCCCCCUUGUUGGUGUUACCGGAUUUCACUAAAACCUUUGAGGUUGAAUGUGAUGCAAGUGGGAUCGGAAUCGGUGGUGUCCUAAUGCAAAAUGGACAGCCGGUUGCAUACUUCAGUGAAAAGUUAGGAGGUGCGCAACUGAACUACUCGGUGUAUGACAAAGAAUUGUAUGCUUUGGUAAGAGCUCUUGAGACUUGGCAACAUUAUUUAUGGCCAAAAGAAUUUGUUAUUCAUUCAGAUCAUGAGGCUUUGAAAUAUUUAAAGGGGCAAGCAAAACUGAAUCGUAGACAUGCCAAAUGGGUUGAAUUCAUUGAAACUUUUCCAUAUGUUGUGAAAUAUAAGAAAGGUAAAGAAAACAUUGUUGCUGAUGCUUUGUCACGUAAAAAUGUUUUGUUGAAUCAACUAGAUGUCAAGGUGCCAGGACUUGAAAGCAUAAAAGAAUUGUACCCUACUGAUCAUGAAUUUUCAGAACCAUUUGCAAACUGUACAACUAGAAAAGGGUGGGAAAAAUAUCAUAUACAUGAUGGAUUUUUGUUUCGAGCUAACAAAUUGUGUGUACCCCACUGCUCUGUUAGGCUUUUGUUGCUACAGGAAACACAUGCAGGUGGAUUGAUGGGUCACUUUGGAUGGAGAAAGACAUAUGAGAUGCUAGCUGAUCACUUCUACUGGCCAAAGAUGAGAAGAGACGUCCAACGACUUGUGCAAAGAUGCAUCACAUGUCACAAAGCUAAGUCAAAACUGAACCCUCAUGGAUUAUAUACUCCCUUGCCUGUUCCUAGUACCCCUUGGGAAGAUAUUAGCAUGGAUUUUGUUUUGGGCUUACCUAGGACAAAGAGGGGAAUGGAUUCAAUUUUUGUUGUUGUUGAUCGGUUCUCUAAAAUGGCACAUUUUAUACCUUGUCAUAAAAGCGAUGAUGCUUCGCACGUAGCCUCUCUAUUUUUCAGGGAUAUUGUAAGAUUACACGGCGUGCCCAAAACGAUUGUUUCAGACCGUGACACCAAGUUCUUGAGCUACUUUUGGAAGACAUUGUGGGCAAAGCUUGGAACAAGGCUGCUGUUUUCCACCACUUGUCAUCCUCAAACGGAUGGACAAACUGAAGUUGUGAAUAGAACACUUUCUAUGCUGCUACGAGCCUUGAUAAAGAAAAACCUGAAGGAGUGGGAAGAGUGCUUGCCACAUGUGGAAUUCGCUUACAACAGGGCAGUACAUUCUACAACUAAUAUGUGUCCUUUUGAAGUUGUGUAUGGAUUCAAACCCCUUGCUCCGAUCGAUUUGUUGCCUCUACCAUUGUAGGAAAGGAUUAACAUGGAAGCAUCCAAGCGUGCAUCAUAUGUCAAGAAGAUUCAUGAGAAGACCAAAGAAGCAAUCGAAAGAAGGUCCAAGUACUAUGCUGAUUGGGCAAACAAGCAUCGUAAGAAGGUGAUAUUUGAGCCCGGAGAUUUAGUGUGGGUACAUCUUCGCAAAAACCGCUUUCCUGAGAAGCGUAAAUCCAAGUUGAUGCCACGGGGAGAUGGUCCAUUCAGAGUGCUGUCCAGGAUCAAUGAUAAUGCCUACAAGAUUGAGCUUCCUGAAGAUUAUGGUGUUAGCACAACCUUCAAUGUUGCUGACUUGACACCAUUCUUCGGAUUAGAAGAAUCAGAGUCGAGGUCGACUCCUUUUCAAGAGGGGGAGGAUGAUGAGGAUAUCCCAACCAAGCAUGCUCCCUCUAAUUCCAUGCCAACCUCUACACCGACUACGCCGGCACCAGCCCAAGCCAUUGAUGGAGCAAUUACACGUAGCCGAGCCAAGAAGCUACAACAAGAGGUGAACGCGCUACUUUGUGAGAGUUCUAUUAAUGUUAAUGAGAAUAUUAUACUACCUAAGUGUUCUACUUUGGUUGUGCUUAGGUAUACACAUGAGGAGGGAGGUGACCUGGAUCACAAGGAUUGGAACAACACGGUGCAGAACGGACCAGUUGAAAGAAGAGCAGAUCGGACCAGUACGGUGCAGAACGGACCAGUUGAAAUAAAAGAUCAUAACUUUCACUUUCGAGAUGCUAUGAAGGUCCAUGAGCACUUGUUGGAAAGCUCUUCGAGUCUACUUUCCAAUGAAUCAAGUGGCGACCAGUUUGGAUACUCCAUAUUACCUGUAGACCAGAAUUAGUACAGACUGCUCAGAAGGUCAACAGUCUGUCUUGACAGAAUGUUGGUACAACUUGCCAAGUAAAACUGUACCAAUCUACAGCGUUUCGUAGUGCAUGGCAUACGUUGCUGGAAAGCUCUUGGAGUCUAGUUUCACACCCAAGAAACGGUUCAUCAUUUGGACUUCCCCAUAAAAGGUUAUGGUCAGUUUAUUGGAAAGUGCUCUAGAGGCCAACAGUCACGCGAAGCCACUUCGGGAAUCCAUUUCGAGGGGACCUUUCACAUUGCCUUCCCUCAGAAACUCUAUUUCGUUUUCAUACCUAUCUAGCAGGGCUGUUGCUAGUAUAAAUACCCCCUAAGACUCAUUGUAAUCAAAGACUUAUGAUAUUGAGAAUACAAACCACUUUGUUCAGCUGUGUGCUAACAACUUCAGAGAGAGAUCUCUACCCCUUUGCUCUUGUGUUUUCCUUCACGGAGAUUACAGAAGCGGCCGCGUCAUCGGCACCCAAUCCGUGCUCCUGAUCCUCGAGUUCAGGUUGCGUAGGUUGGUUCUUUGAGAGUGUGGUUGGGCGAAUCCUUGGUUCAGGCUGCCGUAUAGAGACGGUGGUUGGCUCCUUGUGCGUGUCGUCAGGUUGCACUAGUUAUCCUCGCUGCUUGCAGCAAGUUAUCGGCUGAUCUUCAGCUAGUUAUCCUACGUCGUGAAGAUCGGAACAACGACCUCACCAGAAAACAAGCCAAAUCUCAAACAUAAAUUACAUAUCAAGGCUUCAGUACUCCAAAAAUCAUGAAAUAUUUAUCAUAGCCUUCUAGUACCACACAGAGACUACCAUAAAAAUUUUAUAGCAAAAUAAUCAGUAUAACAAGAGAUAUGAAUAUUCUUAUGAAUAACAAGAUUAAAUCUUAAUAAAUAUUUUUCCCAGAAAACAUGGUUCAUUUUAUAUUUUUAUUAAAAACUAGCCAUCUCAAGGAAUACCACAAAAUUGAUUUCACAAUUUUUGGAUCUCAGAAACAGGAGAUAUGAUUUUUGUAAGAAAGCCAAAAAUCAGGAUUUGAAUAAAAGGAAGGAGUAGACCGUUGAGUCACUGACAGUCGGGACCCGCGCGUCAGUGACACCGAGAACAGAGGACACCUUCGCCGGCAAAUGCUCGCCGACGGUGAGCUUCUCCGGUGGAUCCAAGGGCACCAGCGUGCUCCUAGAGUGAUUCCGCAUCGAAGGAGGUAGGUGGCGCUAGGGUUUUGGCUACGGAGAGGGGUCGCCGUCGGCCAUGGCGGCAUGGCGGAGCUACCCCGGCUUACGCUGACCAUCUCCGACCGGUAGAGCGUCGGGGAAGGGCGGCUUAAGCAUCAGUGAGUCAGCGCGGAGCUUUCUAGGUAGAAACGUCUAACCCUAACGGCUCCGGUGAGCCUGCUCACGUGCGAGGUGCUCGUCGGCGGUGAGCACGGCGGUGCGGCGACCGUGUUCCCGCGCGACGGUGAGGUUUCAGACAGAAUGGCAUGGCGUGGACUGACGCCAAGACCUAAGCAGACCCUAACGCGACCCAGAGGGAAGAAAGGAAGCAAGAACAGAGCGGCGGCGAGGUUCGCCGGAAUCGGUGUCGCGACAGCCGCGAACCCGACGACGAAGAACUUGCGAAAUGCCGCUCACCUCGGGGAGAUCUCGUCCAACCGAUGGGUGGAGAAGAUGGAGGAGCUCAAGGCGGACUUGGAGGCGCUUGGAGGCGAAGCAAUACGCAGAGGCGAGGGCGCGAAGAGCUGGCAAAGCUCUCGGCGGCAAUGGCGACGGCGUUUCCGCCAGAGCGAGCGCGAGAGAGAGGAAGGAGGAGAAUGGACGGGUGCUGAGCGAGUGCGGGGCGCCGUCACGUCCAUGCCAACGCCGUCGACCUGACGAGCGGGGCCAACGCCGGCGUACGGGCGACAACUGGCGGACAGGUGUCUGGACGUUCCCGACGGCGAGCUCAACUCUGAAUCAGGCGACGCGAUCACUGUGUGACAGAGCGACUUCGUCGCUGAAUAACUUCCAAACCAGAGCGAGUUAGGAGAUGGUGUAGUUGACAAAGUUGGAGUACCAACUGAGUUCUACAACAAUGUCAACUAGAGCAAGAACCAGAUCGGCUUGGAUUGAGAGAUAUAGAGUUUUCAAAAUCGAUCGAGCAAACUGUUAAAGCCAGGACUUAGCCAAAAUCGACUAAGUGCCAAAACAGCACCCAAAUAUGCCUUGCAAGCACUUUUUGGACAAGUUGUGAUCAUUUUCAUGAGAUGGCCAUAAAAAAACUUUUGUUCCUUAUAAAAUUUGCUACAACUUUGCUGUAGAAAGUUUUGACAUGCAAACAUUUGAUGAAAUACUUUUUAAAAGCCUAAGCAAAAGAGCUUUCUAGGGCCUAUUUGUGUAAGCAUGACUUAAGUGAUUAUUUUGGAGAAGUGAUCAACAUGAACAUUGUUCCCAAGGUUGAGUUAAGCAUCGCUGAACUAUCUAACAAGGCAUAAAGCACAAACACAAGCAUGGUUCACUCAAACAUAAGCAUAGGGAACCUAUUUAAGCAAUUUAAAUCACAUUUUUGCAUAGAAAGGUAUGACUCAAGGUAGAUGAUGAUCAUGACAUGCUUGAGAAGAAGAUGAUGCUCAUACUAUGCAUAUGAUUUAUGCAACCAUAACACUGGGGUGUUACAGUCGGUGGCUCUGGCGGUGCCUCCUCUUCGUGUAUAACUAUCUUCUUUCUCCACACCUGACUCGGUGCUACGGUCUCCUCAGGAUAGUUCUGUUCAAGCUGUAUGUCUUCAGACCUUACCACUUCUCCUUCAUAGUCUACCCAUCCGUCCUUGAUGAUUUGCCUCCUCUGGUUGUGGUU